UCAUCGUAGGGUUAGUCGGGACCUAAGCUGAGUCCGAAAGGGGUAAGCGAUGGAAAAUCGGUUAAUAUUCCGAUACCAACUAUAGAGCGUGAUGGGAGGACGCAUAGGGCUAUGUGAGGUCACUGAUGGAAUAGUGGCUCGAAGGGUGUAGGCUGGGAGAGAAAGGAAAAUCCACUCUCCUAUAGCUGAGACCUGACAGGCUGUGGAGGCUUUUAGGAGCCAAAACAGAAUCACAGAUGCCGAAGUGCCAAGAAAAGUCUCUAAGCAUAUCUAUAGUUGCCCGUACCGUAAACCGACACAGGUGGGUGAGAUGAGAAUUUUAAGGCGCGUGGAAGAACCAUUGUUAAGGAACUCUGCAGACUAGCCCCGUAUUUUCGGUAUAAGGUGUGCCUACUUGGGUGAAGCUCCUAGCGAGUGGAGCCUGAGAGGUUGCAACAAAGAGUCCCUCCCGACUGUUUAC
rnacentral:rRNA from 1 species